ensembl:lncRNA
UUAACGCCUAGUACGCAGCAGGCACUCAGCAAACAAUGGGUGUUGUUAUUGAUUAUUGCCAUUGUCUCCUCCUUCUUAUCCAAGGUGUCUGGGCUCCGUGAGAAGUUCUAAGCCCUUCCCCAGGAUGGAGGCUUCACCUCUCCGUGGAGAUUCCCAGUCACCCCUCUUUGCCAGAUCACUGAUCUUCAAAUUGCACUCCUCAGACCCCUGCAGGUUCAGCCAAGAUUACGUUGGAUUGAUGAAGAGGAUUUGGGAAGCAGGCAGAUUACAUCAGAAAUGGCUCAAGAUUCUUCAUGCCGAUAAGACUCCAGGAAACUCACAUCCAGACCCGCUGCAGGAAAUGGAGGUGGACAUUACAGAUGCUUUGGAGGACUGCCCUUUCCUGGGAAAUUACUGGUGGCGCGCAAUUCUAGCCCAAGCACAAACAGAGGAGAGAUCUGUACCGUUGUGCCCCAAGAUCUAUACUGUUGGUGAUCAACCAGGUGCCAAACAAUCCUUCUGCAGGAAGGUUCCUAAGCAGUUAAAAUAUAAAACUGAACUUGCUGAACAGAUAAGCUUUACCCUGGAAAUUCAGAUUAUUGGCGACACACAGUAUAUGUACCGCUGGGUCAGUGAGAGUCGGAAGGGUGCUCUCCAAGUUUAACUCAGUGGUUAGUGGCUUGAGCUUGCCAGAGAGGCUGCCUGGGGUUGCAUCCAAAAUCUACUGCUUGAAUUCCCAGGUAACCUUGGGCAAGUUCCUGAACCUCUCAAGCCAGACUCUCUUCUUCUGUAACAACAACAACAACAACAACAACAACAACAAUAAUAAAAGAAUGAUAAUAGUAGUACCUACAUGGGAGCUGCUGUGAGUAUUUAAACGAGACUAUCAAUGGAAAGUUCUUGAGAGAGCUGAGCAUUAGUCAAUGCUCUUAAAUGCCCCGCUUGCUGUUGGCUGCAGUGUAUAGCAUACCAACUAAGAACACGGAUUUGGGUGCAAAUAGUUCUGGGUUGGAGUUCCAGCGUCACCGCUGAGUAGACUUGUGACCAUGAGCACAUUACUUCAACUCUUCGAGCUUUAGUUUUCUUAUAUAUAAAAUAGCGAUAAGCAUAGUACUUACCUCAAGGGGCUAUUGUGAACAUUUAGUGAGAAAAUAGACUCAAAGUGCUUAGGAGAGUUUCCGGCACCUAGCUAUUAUUAUUUUUAUCAUCAUUAUUAUUCAUUGGUUCCCUAAUAUCAAAAAAUAUUCUGAAGACAGGCUGAAACACAGUAAACCUGAUAUAAAAUGCAUACUUGGCAUGCCGAAGAUAAAGAAUUUUCAGACAAAUGAUUUGAUCAAACGGUGGUAAAGUGGGUUUGGGUUGUCCCGCAAUUCCUCCCGUAAACUGGAGAGACGGGGCACAGGCUCAGGGAAGAUGGCGGAGGCUGAUCCCAGUGGGCCUUUCCCACUGGCCUGGGAUCUCCUUUUGCCUGAAGUCUGCCAUGUUGAGCCCAGAAGGCAGCAUGUGUUCUGGCGCCUUCGAUUUUCCCCUUCGAAAUCACUGGGAUUCUUGCUUCUUGUUUUCCCACCUCCUUUCUGCCAAAUUCUGUGAUUCUUGUUUGCUGUCGGGCUUCUCAACAUUUGGAACAUGUGGCUACAAUACCACUUCGUGUUCCAAGUAAAAUGUAAACAUCUGUCUCCUCCUCUUUAUCAGCAAGAAGAUAGGAACAGUGGCCUCUGGAGAGGAGAGCACUCUUUAAUAUCUGGCCCAAUCUCUAUUCUCAGUUGGCAGCUCUGGACUUGUUUCCUACCAUUAACAGAUUGGUUUGCUUAUCUGAUAUUCCCCAGAUUAAAUUACCGCUUCCACAGUGAUGGGGCUUGACAAACCUGCUUUUCCUAUUACUCGCUACCCACAUCCUUUCACUUCUGCUAACUCCUUCACAAUGAACAGAAGGGAGCCUAUCUUCUGAGAUCAGGAAUUACAAGAACAUGUGUUAUAGAUAUCAGUGGUGUAUCGUUUAGCAUACAUUGUGCUAAGGCCAAGGUGUUGCUUCCGCUCAGUUUCUUAAGAACUGAGGGUCUCUUCACCCAAAUAAACCAGAUUAGAAGGUUUGGUUUUUGUUCUGCUUUCCCAUGUGCCCAUAUGGAUGGGCCCCUGGGGAAUAAAUAACGCAUGUAACUCAAGCCCUGUAUUCAUAGGUCCUUUCCUAUGAACCUAUGGGAUCCGCGGCAUCAGUUUCUCCAACCUUUUCAUUUUACUGACGAGGAAGUCAAGAAGUAUGGUGAUAGUUGGAUUCUAGCCCAGCCAAGACAGGAGCCCAGGUCUCCUGACUCUCAGGCCACCAUUCCUUCUUCCUUGUAG